GAUGAAGAACGUAGCGAAAUGCGAUAAGUAAUGUGAAUUGCAGAAUUCAGUGAAUCAUCGAAUCUUUGAACGCACCUUGCACCCUUUGGUAUUCCGAAGGGUAUGCUCGUUUGAGUGUCAUUGUACUCUCCCACUUCUAAUUCCUUUCGGGAUUGGGAGCGGUGGACUUGGGUGUUGCUGCUUUAGUUGUGGCUCACCUCAAAUAAGUUAGUGCAACUCUUGGUUGGACAUAGUACGGCGUGAUAAGUGUCUUCGCCGGCGCCUCUGUAAGGAGGGUGGCCGAUCGGGAGCUCUGUGCUUCAAACCGUCUUCGGACAAUCUUUGACAACUUGACCUCAAAUCGAGUAGGACUACCCGCUGAACUUAAGCAUAUCAAUAAGCGGAGGA
rnacentral:misc_RNA from 1 species